rnacentral:rRNA from 1 species
AGUGAACGCUGGCGGUAGGCCUAACACAUGCAAGUCGAACGGCAGCACAGUAAGAGCUUGCUCUUACGGGUGGCGAGUGGCGGACGGGUGAGGAAUACAUCGGAAUCUACUUUUUCGUGGGGGAUAACGUAGGGAAACUUACGCUAAUACCGCAUACGACCUACGGGUGAAAGCAGGGGAUCUUCGGACCUUGCGCGAUUGAAUGAGCCGAUGUCGGAUUAGCUAGUUGGCGGGGUAAAGGCCCACCAAGGCGACGAUCCGUAGCUGGUCUGAGAGGAUGAUCAGCCACACUGGAACUGAGACACGGUCCAGACUCCUACGGGAGGCAGCAGUGGGGAAUAUUGGACAAUGGGCGCAAGCCUGAUCCAGCCACACCGCGUGGGUGAAGAAGGCCUUCGGGUUGUAAAGCCCUUUUGUUGGGAAAGAAAAGCAGCAGGUUAAUACCCCGCUGUUCCGACGGUACCCAAAGAAUAAGCACCGGCUAACUUCGUG